UGGCUCCGGCAACGAUGAAGAACGCAGCGAAAUGCGAUAAGUAAUGUGAAUUGCAGAAUUUUGUGAAUCAUCGAAUCUUUGAACGCACAUUGCGCCCUCUGGUAUUCCGGGGGGCACGCCUGUUCGAGCGUCAUUGAAUCAAUCAAGCCCGGCUUGGUAUUGGGCGGCUCCCCCACCGGGGAGCGCCCGAAAUGCAGCGGCUCGGUCGCACCGGAGAAGAACGCACGGGAUUUUUCUAAAUCAUCGUUUUUACCUCUCGGGCGGCCGUCGCCGGUCAAACAGCGUUCCGGCCCCGCCGGGGCGCACACCAAAGAAUUGACCUCGGAUCAGGUGGGAAUACCCGCUGA
rnacentral:misc_RNA from 1 species